rnacentral:lncRNA from 1 species
CUUUCGGUUUCACUUUGCUUCUUGCGGUACAGACUGCUGCCACGCCGGCUGGCUAGGUCACUCUCUCCAGAACCUGGAAGCAACCUAGAUGCCCCUCAACUGAAGAAUGGAUUGAGAAAAUGUGGUACAUUUAUACAAUGGAGUACUACUCAGCAGAAAAAAGCAAUGGAAUCUUGAAAUUCGCAGGCAAAUGGAUGGAACUAGAAGAAACCAUCCUGAGUGAGGUAACCCAGUCACAAAAAGACAAACAUGAGCCCUCAUCCAGUGGCUGAUGGAAGCAGAGACAGACAUCCACUGAACUCUGGAACUUACUUGAAUAGAGGGAGGGAUGAAGAGCAAAGGGGUCUGUACCAAGUUGGAGAAACCCACAAGAACAAUUGGCCUGAACAAGGGAGAGCACAUCGAACCCAGAUGCUGUGGGGGAGGCCAGUACAAGACUGAUCCAGAUCCCUGAACAUGGAUGCCAAUAAGGAGGCCUCUGCACUCCAGGGAGCCCCUGAUAGUGGAUUAGUAUUUUUCCCUGGUGCAAGAAGGGACUUUGAGAGCCCAUCCCACAUGAAGGGUUACACUCUGGCCCUGGACACAUGGGGAAGGGCCCAGGCCCAGCACAGGAAGAUUUGGUGGACUUUGCAGAGCCCCAGUUGAGGGCCCUACCCUG